AGCUUCGCCGGCAUGCCAUCCACCUUAAACUUCAACAAUCGACCAAAUACCAUCUCUUUUACCGCCAUUCUUUGUUCGAACAACAGCACCAUAAUGCACCUAGCGAGUUGGAUCGGUGACGAUCUUGUUCUAAUCCCUAGCCAAUUAUCCCUCUUUGACUUUUCCUCAACCUACAUACCAACUCGGGAUAAUUGGCUAGGGAUUAGAACAAGAUCGUCACCAAUCCAACUCGCUAGGUGCAUUAAGGUGUUGUCAUUCGAACAAAGAAUGGCGGUAAAAGAGAUGGUAUUUGGUCGAUUGUUGAAAUUUAAGGUGGAUGGCAUGCCGGCGAAGCU
rnacentral:pre_miRNA from 1 species